AGCAUGAGCAUCAUCAUCCACUCAAAGCAUAUCACGAUCAUCAUCUAUCUUGAGCCAUGUCAUUCUUUGCAAAAUUGUGUUUUAAAUUGCUUAAAUAGGCUUCCUAUGCUUAUGUUUGAGUGAACCAUGCUUGUGUUUGUGCUCUAUGCUUUGGUAAUUAGUUUAUCUAGGCUUAACUUAACCUUGGGAACAAUGUUCAUGUUGAUCACUUCUCCAAAAUAUGCCUUUAAGUCAUACUUGUGUAAAUAGGCCC
rnacentral:lncRNA from 1 species